GACGAACGCUGGCGGCGUGCCUAAUACAUGCAAGUCGAGCGCUGAAGGUUGGUACUUGUAUCAACUGGAUGAGCAGCGAACGGGUGAGUAACGCGUGGGGAAUCUGCCUUUGAGCGGGGGACAACAUUUGGAAACGAAUGCUAAUACCGCAUAAAAACUUUAAACACAAGUUUUAAGUUUGAAAGAUGCAAUUGCAUCACUCAAAGAUGAUCCCGCGGUGUAUUAGCUAGUUGGUGAGGUAAAGGCCCACCAAGGCGAUGAUACAUAGCCGACCUGGGAGGGUGGACGGCCACAUUGGGACUGGGACACGGGCCAAGCUCCUACGGGGAGGAGCAAUAGGGGAACUUCGGCAAUGGGCGAAAGGCUGGACGAACAACGCCGCGGGGGGGAAGGAGGUUUUCGGGUCGGAAAACUCUGUUGGUAGGGGAGAAAGUUGAGGAGAGUGAAAAGCUCAUCAAGUGACGGUAACUACCCAGAAAGCAACGGCUAACUACGUG
rnacentral:rRNA from 1 species